GACGAACGCUGGCGGCGUGCUUAACACAUGCAAGUCGAACGGAAAGGCCCCUUUGGGGGUACUCGAGUGGCGAACGGGUGAGUAACACGUUAGUAACCUGCCCUUGACUUCGGGAUAACUUCAGGAAACUGGGGCUAAUACCGGAUAGGAAUCCUUGCUGCAUGGUGGGGGUUGGAAAGCUUCGGCGGUUUUGGAUGGACUCGCGGCUUAUCAGCUUGUUGGUGGGGUAGUGGCUUACCAAGGCUUUGACGGGUAGCCGGCCUGAGAGGGCGACCGGCCACAGUGGGACUGAGAGACGGCCCAGACUCCUACGGGAGGCAGCAGUGGGGAAUAUUGCACAAUGGGCGGAAGCCUGAUGCAGCAACGCCGCGGGCGGGAUGACGGCCUUCGGGUUGUAAACCGCGUUCAGCAGGGGCGAAGCUUGUGGUGACGGUACCUGCAGAAGAAGCACCGGCUAACUACGUG
rnacentral:rRNA from 1 species